ACAUGAGUGGCGACAGCAAGCAGCAGGCCGGGUGGAAAGCCAGAAGGGGAGAAGGUCAACCCCUUUUCUGCCCUGUGAAUUCUAGCAACUGUCGGUUGGAUUCUGUGGAUUUGCCUCUGCCAUCUUUUUGAGUUAUUUUCUAAUGGUUUGUAGCUUAGAAAGUAGCCAUGUUUUCAAGUAGUGCCGGCACAAGAGCUGCCUGUGCACGAGGGACUUUUCUGCUGGAGCCAAUCUGGGAGAGGAGGAAUAAAAACGAGCACAUCUCAGGUCUCGACGCAUCUGUUAGCUGUGUACUCACAAAGCUGUGGCGAUAUGACUGCUGCUCAAUUAAGAUUUCUGGUGAAAUGUUUAAGCUUUUUCUCCAAGAGCUUCCAGCAUCAAGUACAAAAGGAUGAUCCUGAAGGAAAGAUGAAGCUGGUUUUAACGGCGUCUGUGAGCUGCUUUCCCUGCACACGAACAGAAGCUCUUACCUUACAAACAGAAAGGGAAAAAGGACCUUAAAAAACCAUACACAGACUCUAGCAAAAGCCAAAUUCAUGUACAUUUCACUCCGUCUAAAAUGCAGUCCCGGAAACGCUCCACGGUCCUCUCCUGCCUCUGCACGCAGGCAGGCAGCCUGGGGGGCUCCUGGGUGCUGCCAGGAGCCGUGUCCCAUCUCCCCAGAGGGACCGGCCAUGGCCCUGGUCACUGUGGCAUCUUCCCAGAGCAACUGCGUCUCGCUGCCCAGGGAGGUGAUUCCAUUUGUUUGUCUCCUCCGACCCGCGCUCCUUGGACUUUUGGAAAGACAGGAUUUCCCCACACCAGUUGAGAGGCUCAGCUUGGCUGAGGCAGCUUUCCCACCCCUGGCUGCGUGUUCGGUCCCUGGUCUGUAAACCUGUGCAAUAUGGAAUAUAUCUUUUUAUUUUUUUCUGUGGGAGCAAUUCUCUGGUUUUCUAUCAAAGAUUCCUUGAUAUGGCCGGGCAUGGUGGCUCAUGUGGGUUCCUUUCCUGCCCCUGAAAUGUGGGCUCUGCCAGUGCCUUUUCUGCUUUUCUCUGGGUUGUCACUAGAGGGCAGCAUACGCCCGUGUUUAGAAGUCAGAGCUGCUUGAUUUACGGACAGAGAACCGAGGGCGCACACAGCCAGAUCCUCUCGAUCUCCUGACCUCGUGAUCUGCCCGCCUCAGCCUCCCAAAGUGCUGGGAUUACAGGCGUGAGCCACCGUGCCCGGCCUUUAAGUGUCAGGGAGUCGUCAGUCAGGGAGUGUCUCAGGGAGGCCUGUCCGACUUAUGAUCUAGAAAGGGCCAGGGCUGCCGGAGUGGGCAGGGCAGGAGAAAACAGGCGGGUGUCAUGAUCACCAGCGCCUGCCUCCUCUCUCACCUGGACCAAUCAGAGCUGUGCACUGGCUGAUGAGAACCACCACCUGGCCUGGGCCUGAGCGGGUAGCUGGUUCUGUCAACGCGAGGUCUGAACAGAAUCUCAUGAAACAAUAUUUAGUUAACUUGGCCUCUAUCAUCCUUGGGGCAAUAGAUUUCUGCAGGCCUUUGUUGCUUUUUGUGGUGGAACAAGUAUGAAAAGUAUAAAAGCAUUUUUUGAACUUUUUGCAGAAAAUUUCAUAUCCUAAUAUUUGCUUCCAGGCAGUCCAUCCUGGCCCCUUACCCUUUGCUGCCAGAAGGCUUGUCUGUAAUAGUGUCACAGGGAAAGGCUAGUUCUGUGCUAAGAAAGAUGGAGCUCACGGGCCCCAGGCUGCCCAUCGUGGCUUAUCUUGGAAUUUUCUCUGUGAAGUGGGGGGAUGGUAGGGGAGUCUACUUCCAUCCUAGGGCCUCCGUG
rnacentral:lncRNA from 10 species